ACAGCAGCCGCCGCGGGAAUACAGAGGGUGCGAGCGUUAAUCGGAUUUACUGGGCGUAAAGCGUGCGUAGGCGGCUUCUUAAGUCGGAUGUGAAAUCCCUGAGCUUAACUUAGGAAUUGCAUUCGAUACUGGGAAGCUAGAGUAUGGGAGAGGAUGGUAGAAUUCCAGGUGUAGCGGUGAAAUGCGUAGAGAUCUGGAGGAAUACCGAUGGCGAAGGCAGCCAUCUGGCCUAAUACUGACGCUGAGGUACGAAAGCAUGGGGAGCAAACAGGAUUAGAGACCCCAGUAGUCCCUGUCUCUUAUAA
rnacentral:rRNA from 1 species